GAUGAGCGCUGGCGGCAUGCCUAAUACAUGCAAGUCGAACGAGAGGAAGGAAAGCUUGCUUUUCUGAAUCUAGUGGCGAACGGGUGAGUAACACGUAGGUAACCUGCCCAUGUGCCCGGGAUAACUUCUGGAAACGGAUGCUAAAACCGGAUAGGUAGCAGACAAGCAUUUGACUGCUAUUAAAGUGGCUAAGGCCAUGAACAUGGAUGGACCUGCGGUGCAUUAGCUAGUUGGUGAGGUAACGGCCCACCAAGGCGACGAUGCAUAGCCGGCCUGAGAGGGCGGACGGCCACAUUGGGACUGAGACACGGCCCAAACUCCUACGGGAGGCAGCAGUAGGGAAUUUUCGUCAAUGGGGGGAACCCUGAACGAGCAAUGCCGCGUGAGUGAAGAAGGUCUUCGGAUCGUAAAGCUCUGUUGUAAGAGAAAAACGACAUUCAUAGGGAAUGAUGAGUGAGUGAUGGUAUCUUACCAGAAAGUCA
rnacentral:rRNA from 1 species